UACGUAGGUGGCAAGCGUUGUCCGGAUUUAUUGGGUUUAAAGGGUGCGUAGGCGGCCUUAUAAGUCAGUGCUGAAAUAUCCCGGCUUAACCGGGAGGGUGGCAUUGAUACUGUAGGGCUUGAGUGUAGUCGAGGUAGGCGGAAUUCCUGGUGUAGCGGUGAAAUGCGUAGAUAUCGGGAGGAACACCAGUGGCGAAGGCGACUACCUGGCCUGUUUCUUGACGCUGAGGCGCGAAAGCUAGGGGAGCAAACGGG
rnacentral:rRNA from 1 species